UACGUAGGGUGCAAGCGUUGUCCGGAAUUAUUGGGCGUAAAGAGCUCGUAGGCGGUUGUUGCGUCGGCUGUGAAAUCCCGAGCUCAACCUCGGGUCUGCAGUCGAUACGAGCAAACUAGAGUGUUGCAGGGGAGACUGGGAAUUCCUGGUGUAGCGGGUGAAAUGCGCAGAUAUCAGGAGGAACACCGGUGGCGAAGGCGGGGUCUCUGGGCAACAACUGACGCUGGAGGAGCGAAAGCGUGGGGAGCGAACAGGG
rnacentral:rRNA from 1 species